GUCGUGAGAUGUUGGGUUAAGUCCCGCAACGAGCGCAACCCUUGUCCCUAGUUGCUACGCAAGGGCACUCUAGGGAGACUGCCGGUGACAAACCGGAGGAAGGCGGGGAUGACGUCAAGUCCUCAUGGCCCUUAUGGGUAGGGCUUCACACGUCAUACAGUGGCCGGUACAGAGGGUUGCCAACCCGCGAGGGGGAGCCAAUCCCAGAAAGCCGGUCGUAGUCCGGAUUGCAGUCUGCAACUCGACUGCAUGAAGUCGGAAUCGCUAGUAAUCGCGGAUCAGCAUGUCGCGGUGAAUACGUUCCCGGGUCUUGUACACACCGCCCGUCACACCAUGGGAGCGGGAUGUACCAGAAGUAGGUAGGCUAACUCGCAAGAGGGGCCGCUUACCACGGUGCGUUUCGUGACUGGGGUGAAGUCGUAACAAGGUAGCCGUAUCGGAAGGUGCGGCUGGAUCACCUCCUUUCUCGGACUCAGGAGUCAGGAGUCAGAAGACAGAGGUCAGCAACGGCCAAAGUCGAUGGACCCUGCCACUCCCAUGCCCAAGCUGCGAGUACCCACAACCUAUCGGUUGUACUCAGAAGACAGAAUUCAGAGGGCAGAAGACAGCGAAGGCAGGGCGUCGCGAUGCGCGGCUUUUUCUGACUUCUGUCCUCUGAAUUCUGACUCCUGAAACGGGCCUGUAGCUCAGUUGGUUAGAGCACCGUCUUGAUAAGGCGGGGGUCGAUGGUUCGAAUCCAUCCAGACCCACCAGCAUCGCACCGGGGCUGUAGCUCAAUUGGGAGAGCGCCUGCUUUGCAAGCAGGAGGUCGUCGGUUCGAUCCCGUCCAGCUCCACCAGUUUUCAGCGAUCAGCUGUCAGCAAGAGCGGAUGGCGUGACGGUGUACCUAUUGGUUGCAGGAUCAGUCCUCAGUUUUUCACUUUUGGCACGUGGUUGCUGAAAGCUGAGAGCGGAAAGCUGAGAGCUGAAACAGUGUUCUUUAACAAUUUGGAAGGCAAGGGUUCAUGCGACUUGAUGAGAGUCGGAUGAACAUAGGGUUGAGUUGUAUCUUCAAAAGCCGGGCACCUUUUAAAAAGGGGGGUGGCCGGUGGCGCGAACACAUCGUAACGAUGUGCCUGGCGUGGAUCGGCGUUAGUGGCAGGGGUUUUUCUGAUCCCUGAUUCCUGAAUUCUGAUCCCUGGAAGGCUCACAGUUAUGGGGUCAAGCGACUAAGUGCAUGUGGUGGAUGCCUUGGCGAUUACAGGCGAUGAAGGACGUGGCAGCCUGCGAAAAGCUCCGGGGAGCUGGCAAACAAGCAUUGAUCCGGAGAUGU
rnacentral:sRNA from 1 species